AUUGAAUGCAAAAGUUUGUAGGUCCAGAUAAAUCCAAAUGUUAUGUUUCACGACAUAAAAAAAUUAUGGCAGGUAGUUUUAUUAUAUUUACACUCGGCAACACUUGGAAAAUGGUAUAAGCAUCACAAACGUCAAACGACAAAAGCAAUAUGGCGUUUUCUUUGUUUUCGUAUGGAGUUAUUAUUAAUGUUUUCCAAGCUUAAAACGAUUUUUAAAUAGUGUCGUUUGUAAAAUGGUUAAUAAUAUUUGUGCUGUGAGUGGCUGUGGGAAAGAAUCGUACCCUGGCUGUGGAUUAUCUUUUCACAGUUUGCCUUCAGAUUUAGAGCUAAAGAAAAAGUGGUUAGAGGUGAUACCCGGCAACUUACGUCAAAGCUCUGUAGUUUGUUCACUUCAUUUCAAACCGGAAGAUUAUCGAACAGAAGCUCGGAAAAGGUUGAAACCUGGAGUGACUCCUUCUAUCUUUCCAAAGAUUUUUCCCGAAAAUAAAAAAAAUUAAGUGUUAAGCGAUAUACGCUUAAAAACUGUAAACAAUGAAGAACCUGGAUCUUAUAAAAGUCCUCCAAGGAAGAAAACAAAAACUGACAUAAAUACACAAACAUCAACUUUGAUUGCAACACCAAGAAAAAUAAAAUUAAAGCGUGAAUUAAAAAAUCUUAAACAAAAAAUCAAGAGAAGAGA